rnacentral:rRNA from 1 species
UACAGAGGUGGCAAGCGUUGUUCGGAAUUACUGGGCGUAAAGGGCGCGUAGGCGGCCUUCUAAGUCAGACGUGAAAUCCCCCGGCUUAACCUGGGAACUGCGUCUGAUACUGGGAGGCUUGAGUAUGGGAGAGGGAUGUAGAAUUCCAGGUGUAGCGGUGAAAUGCGUAGAUAUCUGGAGAAAUACCGGUGGCGAAGGCGGCAUCCUGGACCAUUACUGACGCUGAGGCGCGAAAGCUAGGGGAGCAAACGGG